rnacentral:rRNA from 1 species
GACGAACGCUGGCGGCGUGCUUAACACAUGCAAGUCGAACGAAGAGCGAUGGAAGCUUGCUUCUAUCAAUCUUAGUGGCGAACGGGUGAGUAACGCGUAAUCAACCUGCCCUUCAGAGGGGGACAACAGUUGGAAACGACUGCUAAUACCGCAUACGACCUAAUCUCGGCAUCGAGGAUAGAUGAAAGGUGGCCUCUACAUGUAAGCUAUCACUGUAGGAGGGGAUUGCGUCUGAUUAGCUAGUUGGAGGGGUAACGGCCCACCAAGGCGAUGAUCAGUAGCCGGUCGGAUGGGAGGAACGGCCACAGUGGGAAGGAGACACGGCCCAGACUCCCACGGGAGGCAGCAGUGGGGAAUCUUUCGAAAUGGACGAAAGUCUGACGGAGGAAAGCCGCGUGAGUGAUGACGGCCUUCGGGUUGUAAAGCUCUGUUAAUCGGGACGAAAGGCCUUCUUGCGAAUAGUGAGAAGGAUUGACGGUACCGGAAUAGAAAGCCACGGCUAACUACGUG